AGAGUUUGAUCCUGGCUCAGAUUGAACGCUGGCGGCAUGCCUUACACAUGCAAGUCGAACGGCAGCACGGGAGCAAUCCUGGUGGCGAGUGGCGAACGGGUGAGUAAUAUAUCGGAACGUGCCCAGUCGUGGGGGAUAACGCAGCGAAAGCUGUGCUAAUACCGCAUACGAUCUCUGGAUGAAAGCGGGGGACUCGCAAGAGCCUCGCGCGAUUGGAGCGGCCGAUAUCAGAUUAGCUAGUUGGUGGGGUAAAAGCCCACCAAGGCGACGAUCUGUAGCUGGUCUGAGAGGACGACCAGCCACACUGGAACUGAGACACGGUCCAGACUCCUACGGGAGGCAGCAGUGGGGAAUUUUGGACAAUGGGCGCAAGCCUGAUCCAGCAAUGCCGCGUGCAGGAUGAAGGCCUUCGGGUUGUAAACUGCUUUUGUACGGAACGAAACGGCUCUUUCUAAUAAAGAGAGCUAAUGACGGUACCGUAAGAAGAAGCCCCGGCUAACUUCGUGCCAGCAGCCGCGGUAA
rnacentral:rRNA from 1 species